AUGAACGCUAGCUACAGGCUUAACACAUGCAAGUCGAGGGGCAGCAUGACCUAGCAAUAGGUUGAUGGCGACCGGCGCACGGGUGAGUAACACGUAUCCAACCUACCGGUUAUUCCGGGAUAGCCUUUCGAAAGAAAGAUUAAUACCGGAUAGUAUAACGAGAAGGCAUCUUUUUGUUAUUAAAGAAUUUCGAUAACCGAUGGGGAUGCGUUCCAUUAGUUUGUUGGCGGGGUAACGGCCCACCAAGACAUCGAUGGAUAGGGGUUCUGAGAGGAAGGUCCCCCACAUUGGAACUGAGACACGGUCCAAACUCCUACGGGAGGCAGCAGUGAGGAAUAUUGGUCAAUGGACGAGAGUCUGAACCAGCCAAGUAGCGUGAAGGAUGACUGCCCUAUGGGUUGUAAACUUCUUUUAUAUGGGAAUAAAGUGAGCCACGUGUGGCUUUUUGUAUGUACCAUACGAAUAAGGAUCGGCUAACUCCGUGCCAGCAGCCGCGGUAAUACGGAGGAUCCGAGCGUUAUCCGGAUUUAUUGGGUUUAAAGGGAGCGUAGGCGGACUAUUAAGUCAGCUGUGAAAGUUUGCGGCUCAACCGUAAAAUUGCAGUUGAUACUGGUCGUCUUGAGUGCAGUAGAGGUAGGCGGAAUUCGUGGUGUAGCGGUGAAAUGCUUAGAUAUCACGAAGAACUCCGAUUGCGAAGGCAGCUUACUGGACUGUAACUGACGCUGAUGCUCGAAAGUGUGGGUAUCAAACAGGAUUAGAUACCCUGGUAGUCCACACAGUAAACGAUGAAUACUCGCUGUUUGCGAUAUACGGCAAGCGGCCAAGCGAAAGCAUUAAGUAUUCCACCUGGGGAGUACGCCGGCAACGGUGAAACUCAAAGGAAUUGACGGGGGCCCGCACAAGCAGUGGAGUAUGUGGUUUAAUUCGACGCAACGCGAAGAACCUUACCAGGUCUUGACAUCCGAUGCAUAGUGCAGAGAUGCAUGAAGUCCUUCGGGACAUCGAGACAGGUGGUGCAUGGUUGUCGUCAGCUCGUGCCGUGAGGUGUCGGCUUAAGUGCCAUAACGAGCGCAACCCUUAUCUUUAGUUACUAACAGGUCAUGCUGAGGACUCUAGAGAGACUGCCGUCGUAAGAUGUGAGGAAGGUGGGGAUGACGUCAAAUCAGCACGGCCCUUACGUCCGGGGCUACACACGUGUUACAAUGGGGGGUACAGAAGGCAGCUACACAGCGAUGUGAUGCUAAUCCCAAAAGCCUCUCUCAGUUCGGAUUGGAGUCUGCAACCCGACUCCAUGAAGCUGGAUUCGCUAGUAAUCGCGCAUCAGCCACGGCGCGGUGAAUACGUUCCCGGGCCUUGUACACACCGCCCGUCAAGCCAUGAAAGCCGGGGGUACCUGAAGUCCGUAACCGUAAGGAGCGGCCUAGGGUAAAACUGGUAAUUGGGGCU
rnacentral:rRNA from 1 species